rnacentral:rRNA from 1 species
UUCGGCUUAGAGUUUGAUCCUGGCUCAGAACGAACGCUGGCGGCAGGCUUAACACAUGCAAGUCGAGCGCCCAGCAAUGGGAGCGGCGGACGGGUGAGUAACACGUGGGAACAUGCCCUUCGGUACGGAACAACUCAGGGAAACUUGAGCUAAUACCGUAUACGCCCUAACGGGGAAAGAUUUAUCGCCGAAGGAUUGGCCCGCGCCUGAUUAGCUAGUUGGUGAGGUAACGGCUCACCAAGGCUUCGAUCAGUAGCUGGUUUGAGAGAGCGACCAGCCACACUGGGACUGAGACACGGCCCAGACUCCUACGGGAGGCAGCAGUGGGGAAUCUUGGACAAUGGGCGAAAGCCUGAUCCAGCCAUGCCGCGUGAGUGAUGAAGGCCCUAGGGUUGUAAAACUCUUUCGGC